AGUGAACGCUGGCGGUAGGCCUAACACAUGCAAGUCGAACGGCAGCACAGUAAGAGCUUGCUCUUACGGGUGGCGAGUGGCGGACGGGUGAGGAAUACAUCGGAAUCUACUUUUUCGUGGGGGAUAACGUAGGGAAACUUACCCUAAUACCGCAUACGACCUACGGGUGAAAGCAGGGGAUCUUCGGACCUUGCGCGAUUGAAUGAGCCGAUGUCGGAUUAGCUAGUUGGCGGGGUAAAGGCCCACCAAGGCGACGAUCCGUAGCUGGUCUGAGAGGAUGAUCAGCGACACUGGAACUGAGACACGGUCCAGACUCCUACGGGAGGCAGCAGUGGGGAAUAUUGGACAAUGGGCGCAAGCCUGAUCCAGCCAUACCGCGUGGGUGAAGAAGGCCUUCGGGUUGUAAAGCCCUUUUGUUGGGAAAGAAAAGCAGCAGGUUAAUACCCCGCUGUUCUGACGGUACCCAAAGAAUAAGCACCGGCUAACUUCGUG
rnacentral:rRNA from 1 species